CAGGGGGUAGUUUAAUUUAGAAUGCUAGCUUUGGGAGCUAGUGGCGGGAGUUUAAUUCUCCUCUCUCUGA
rnacentral:tRNA from 1 species